ACGGGAGCAGCUCUGGUCGUG
rnacentral:misc_RNA from 1 species